UCAUCUUGUUCUUCAAUCUUCCUGUAUACAAAUUCCCUUCCAAUUUCAGACAUUCAACAUCAAAAAUCAAUUACCAAAAACUGAAACUCUCACUCCCUUGCUCCUUUGUUCGAACCACCAGCAACCACCGUAGGCCACCACUGCAGCCACCACUGACCACCACCAUCCAACAACCACCUCAACCACCCUGACCGUCGUUGUCCCCCAGCACCACCAUCGCACCACCAUUACCCUCGCCCUAUUCCUCCCCUCCUGCGUACCUCCCCUGUCCCUCCCCUGCUUUCCUUUUUCCUUCCCCUUUUGCUGCACCACAUCACGCAACCACAGCCACCAUCGAUUACCACCUCGACCACCACUGCUCGACCACCGCCCCAGCUACCUUCGACCACCACCGCACCUCCCUCACCCUCUCCCUUUCACCACACGCAUCCCCUGCCCCUGUCUUUCCUUCCUCUUUGCGGGACUGCUCCACCCACGCCACCCUCACCGUCCACCCUCACCACCUUAUUCACCAACCUCCGCCGCCCAUUUUUCUCGGCGAGCCGUCCUCCCCUCCGCCCAGAAUCACCACGACACCACCACUUAACCCCCUGCUCGUGCCCCUCUCUUCCUCUCUCUCUCCGUUCUGCCGCCACCAAGUAAUCAACACCAUCGCCGCCUCACCUCCGGCGCUGCGCCAAACCACCGAGCCACCCACCCACCUCCCUCCUCUUCUCUCCUCCUCUUUGUGCUCUUGCCCUGUUUCGUGCCCUGCUUCCAGAAACCAAAACCAAAUUCUGGUUUUGGUUUUAUUCUCCUUAAAACCCAUAAUUAAGUUGGGCCACUUUCAUUUGGGCUUUGAAACCGGACUUGGAACUCAGGAAGAACGAUCCAUCAGACGAGAAAUAUAAAACUACGGUUGAGGUACUACGGGGAUCGAUGGAAACGAGUAGAGGCGAGGAAUUUCACUUUAAUAAUAUUCACCUAGUUUAUGCUUAAAGUUAUAAUAGUUUAAUUAAAGACUUUUAGUAAGUUAUGUACUUUUAUUUUGAUGAUAUAAAGGAUUAUUAUAUUAAAUUGGAGGUUUUUAUGGCUUAUGUAUGAUGUUGCCUUGUAAUUUCCAAGACGGAAUUACGGCAGAUCCUUUCAAAUCUUGCAAGCCUAGGCCAGGAGACAGUUGUGGGUUCUUUGACGCCAAGUGUUGUGGAAAAAUGGUUUGUUCGGGCAAUAAUAGAUGUGAAGACCCUAACGGCUUUACGGAGGCACUCGACAUUGUCAUGGACCGUAUGAUCUCCUACUGAAUGUUCUACUACUAUUUCCUAUCAUCCUAUUGUGUAUAUACAAGUUUGAAUAAGUUGGUUAUCAACACGUAACUUUGGCAUACCUAUUGUAAGAUCACAAUUAUUUGUGACAUAGUUAUAUGUAGGUGUGUCAAAAUUAAUUUAUCCCUGUGUCGAAACUUGUUUCCUCUUUAAUGUGUGUACUACUACUAUCUUGAACUGUAUUUUGUUUUCUUCUUUGAUGCUUCAAUCAAAGUAGUAUGUAUUAUUGGAUGGUUUGUAUUCAUGUAUGAUACUACA